rnacentral:tRNA from 1 species
GUCCAGGGUAGCCUAGUGGUCAUGGCAUCUGCCCGGUAAGCGGAAGGUCGUGGGUUCGAUUCCCAUCCCUUGACG